UAUUAGAUGACUGAAAACGUAAAGUAUUGAUCUUUUAAAUCAAUUAUAGUAAAUAAUUAUACUCUUACUUCUAAUAA
rnacentral:tRNA from 1 species